AAUAAUUUUUAUUUAAUUAUUUUUAUUAUUUAUAUUAAUUUUAUUAGAAACAACUUUUAUUUAUAGUAUUAAGUUUAUGGAAAUAAUUAUUUUUAUUUAUAGUUUAUUUUACUGUAAAGGUUAAUUUUUAUUUAUUAUAGUGGAAGUAUUUUUUGUUUAUUGUACCUUUUGUAUCAGGGUUUGUCAAUAUAUUUAUAUUAAUUUAUAAUUUCCCGAAAUUAUAAGAGAUACUAUAUAUUUGUAUUUUAUUGUUUUAUAAAUAUUAAUAAAAUUAUAGUAGGGGAGAUAUUCUAUUCAAUUUUAAUUUAUCUGGUUUUUUAAUAAAUGAAUUUAAUUCAGAAUAAAUUUUAUUAAUAAUAAAAUUUAUUAUUAUUAAUUGAAUUUAUUUAAUGUUAUUAGGGAUAAGCUUAAUUACAUUUUUAUAAUUUUAUUAAUAUUUAAGGUUUAUAGGUUUAGCAACAUCCAUUAUUUACUUCGUUAUAGUUAUCCUUAAUAUAUUUAUUUAUUUUAUAUAAAUUUAAAUUAUUAUUAAAAUUUUUGAUUUAAUAAAUAAUUUUAAAGUAAUUAUGAUAAAAUUAGUAAUUUAUUUAUUUAAUAUAUAGUAACUCGGCAAUUAUUACGUUUGCCUGUUUAUCAAAAACAUGUCUUGAAUGUUUAUUUAUUUCAAGUCUGACCUGCUCAAUGAUUUAUUAUAUAAUUAAAUGGCCGCAGUAUUUUGACUGUGCGAAGGUAGCAUAAUCAUUUGUCUUUUAAUUGAAGGCUUGUAUGAAUGGUUUGACAAGAUGUAUCCUUUCUUUAUAUUAAAAUUAUUGAAUUUAAUUUUUAAGUCAAAAAGCUUAAAUUUAUUUAUAGGACGAGAAGACCCUAUAGAAUUUUAUUUAAUAAUUAGUAUUUUAUUUUUGUUUAAUUUAAUUAUUCUAUUAAUUAUUAAAUUUUGUUGGGGCGACAGGGAAAUUUUUUUAACUUUCUUUUUUUAUUUUUUAUUGAUUUAUAUUUUUUUGAUCCUGUUAUUAUGGAUAAAAAGAUUAAAUUACCUUAGGGAUAACAGCGUAAUUCCUUUUGAGAGUUCAUAUCGGUGAAGGAGUUUGCGACCUCGAUGUUGGAUUAAAAUAAGUAUAAUUAGUGCAGUAGCUUUAUUACUGGGUCUGUUCGACCCUUAAUUUUUUACAUGAUCUGAGUUCAGACCGGCGUGAGCCAGGUUGGUUUCUAUCCUUAAUUAUAUUUGACAUUUUAGUACGAAAGGACCAAAUGUCUCUAUCAUAUAGUUUAUUUAUUGAUUAUAUAUUA
rnacentral:rRNA from 1 species